GAGUUUGAUCCUGGCUCAGGUUGAACGCUGGCGGCAUGCCUAACACAUGCAAGUCGAACGGCAGCACAGUCGUAGCAAUACGAUGGGUGGCGAGUGGCGGACGGGUGAGUAAGGCAUCGGGAUCUACCCUGACGUGGGGGAUAACCUCGGGAAACCGGGACUAAUACCGCAUACGUCCUACGGGAGAAAGCGGGGGACCUUCGGGCCUCGCGCGGCAGGACGAACCGAUGUGCGAUUAGCUAGUUGGCGGGGUAAUGGCCCACCAAGGCAUCGAUGGUUAGCUGGUCUGAGAGGAUGGCCAGCCACACUGGAACUGAGACACGGUCCAGACUCCUACGGGAGGCAGCAGUGGGGAAUCUUGCGCAAUGGGGGAAACCCUGACGCAGCAACGCCGCGUGGGUGAUGAAGGCCUUCGGGUCGUAAAGCCCUGUCAGGUGGGAAGAACCGUAUCGGUACAAACAGUGCCGAUGCUUGUUCUUUUAAGGCCGGAGGAAGCACCGGCUAACUCCGUGGGCCCCUUUUACGUAAUACGAAGCCGAA
rnacentral:rRNA from 1 species